AGUGAACGCUGGCGGUAGGCCUAACACAUGCAAGUCGAACGGCAGCACAGUAAGAGCUUGCUCUUACGGGUGGCGAGUGGCGGACGGGUGAGGAAUACAUCGGAAUCUACUUUUUCGUGGGGGAUAACGUAGGGAAACUUACGCUAAUACCGCAUACGACCUACGGGUGAAAGCAGGGGAUCUUCGGACCUUGCGCGAUUGAAUGAGCCGAUGUCGGAUUAGCUAGUUGGCGGGGUAAACGCCCACCAAGGCGACGAUCCGUAGCUGGUCUGAGAGGAUGAUCAGCCACACUAGAACUGAGACACGGUCCAGACUCCUAGGGGAGGCAGCAGUGGGGAAUAUUGGACGAUGGGCGCAAGCCUAAUCCAGCCAUACCGCGUGGGUGAAGAAGGCCAACGGGUUGUAAAGCCCUUUUGUUGGGAAAGAAAAGCAGCAGGUUAAUACCCCGCUGUUCUGACGGUACCCAAAGAAUAAGCACGGGCUAACUUCGUG
rnacentral:rRNA from 1 species